GGGGAUUUAGCUCAGUGGUAGAGUGCUUGCCUAGCAAGCGCAAGGCCCUGGGUUCAGUCCCCA
rfam:Rattus norvegicus chromosome 8, whole genome shotgun sequence.